AUGAGUAUGCCUCUAAUAACUUUGUUCCAUUUUGUUGUUGCCCUCCGUCUUUACAAUCUUCCACUGGCCUAUUCGCUGCAAGAUUGUACUAGUACCAUAUAUGAAGCUGCACGCACGUCAAACACGCCAGGUGAGACACUCGUAUCUUGUGCCGCCGUUGCCGUUGUUCUUGGACGACGGAGGAGGCUUCUUGCCGCCGGUGCCGAGGAAGACGUCUGUGAGGACAGUCUUGGACCGCAGCGAGGCCUUGAGGAUCUCCAGGCCCUCCUUGUACCCGAGCUCCACGGUCCUCUCCUGGAGCGCGCCGAGGCCCCCGACGGCGGCGACGGCGCCGAGCCGCGCGAUGCUGGAGAUGGCCGACAUGGGCGCGACGGCCAGGUCGUCCGUCACCGUGUACGUCACGGCCCCCUGCACGAACCCCGUCGUCGCUGCGUUUGCGCUCUCCUCCGGCUUGGCCGGCGGCGGCGGCACGUACUGGGACACGGUCGCCAUCUCGUUCCCGCAGGCCGGGCACCGGGCGCCCCUGGCGUCGGACACGUACCCGCGGCAGCCUUGGUAGUUGAAGUGGUUGAUGGCGCCGCAGGUGAAGAAGCUCCUCGGGGCCGGGGCCGGCGGCGCGGGCAGGCGGAGGAGCGGGCUGGCCUGCGUGGCGGGGCGGAUGAGCGCGUCCUUGGCGAAGCCGGGCCGCAGGUAGCUGCCCUCGAGCCGCUCCACGCUGGCGUAGAGGUUGCCGACGCUACCCACCAUGGACAUGGACUCCUUCCCCAGCAGCCUCACGGCCGUGCCGGCCGGCAGGGUGAGGAGGGAGAAGAGGAAGUCGACGGCGUCCUUGCCGGCCUCCGCGAACACCACGCGCGGCCGCGGCGGCCUCGUGUCCACCAGGAGCUUCACGGUGAUCGGCGGGGCACCGCCGGUGUCCGCCAUCUUGGAGCGCCUCGAUGCAACAACUUCCACUCUCCCUAG
rnacentral:rRNA from 1 species